AUGAACGCUGGCGGCGUGCCUAAUACAUGCCAGUCGAGCGAACAGAUGAGGAGCUUGCUCCUCUGACGUUAGCGGCGGACGGGUGAGUAACACGUGGAUAACCUACCUAUAAGACUGGGAUAACUUCGGGAAACCGGAGCUAAUACCGGAUAAUAUAUUGAACCGCAUGGUUCAAUAGUGAAAGACGGUUUUGCUGUCACUUAUAGAUGGAUCCGCGCCGCAUUAGCUAGUUGGUAAGGUAACGGCUUACCAAGGCGACGAUGCGUAGCCGACCUGAGAGGGUGAUCGGCCACACUGGAACUGAGACACGGUCCAGACUCCUACGGGGGGCAGCAGUAGGGAAUCUUCCGCAAUGGGCGAAAGCCUGACGGAGCAACGCCGCGUGAGUGAUGAAGGUCUUCGGAUCGUAAAACUCUGUUAUUAGGGAAGAACAAAUGUGUAAGUAACUAUGCACGUCUUGACGGUACCUAAUCAGAAAGCCACGGCUAACUACGUG
rnacentral:rRNA from 1 species